GACGAACGCUGGCGGCGUGCUUAACACAUGCAAGUCGAACGGAAAGGCCCUGCUUUUGUGGGGUGCUCGAGUGGCGAACGGGCGAGUAACACGUGAGUAACCUGCCCUUGACUUUGGGAUAACUUCAGGAAACUGGGGCUAAUACCGGAUAGGAGCUCCUGCUGCAUGGUGGGGGUUGGAAAGUUUCGGCGGUUGGGGAUGGACUCGCGGCUUAUCAGCUUGUUGGUGGGGUAGUGGCUUACCAAGGCUUUGACGGGUAGCCGGCCUGAGAGGGUGACCGGCCACAUUGGGACUGAGAUACGGCCCAGACUCCUACGGGAGGCAGAAGUGGGGAAUAUUGCACAAUGGGCGGAAGCCUGAUGCAGCAACGCCGCGUGCGGGAUGACGGCCUUCGGGUUGUAAACCGCUUUCGCCUGUGACGAAGCGUGAGUGACGGUAAUGGGUAAAGAAGCACCGGCUAACUACGUG
rnacentral:rRNA from 1 species